rnacentral:lncRNA from 1 species
CAGGUGAUCGGUGCAUUGUUCGCGCUGUGCCUCGCCAACUCCAUAAGAAACAUGGACAGAAGGUCUCGCUACUAAUAUUUUGUACAUUUAAACUGGUAUGCCUAAAGGAGCAGCUACCUACA